AUUGAACGCUGGCGGCAUGCCUAACACAUGCAAGUCGAGCGAGCGGCGGACGGGUGAGUAAUGUAUGGGGACUGCCCGAUAGAGGGGGAUAACUACUGGAAACGGUAGCUAAUCCCGCAUACUAUGGGCUAACCCAUAUGGGAUUAGCUAGUUGGGUAGGUAAUGGCUCACAAAGGCGACGAUCCCUAGCUGGUCUGAGAGGAGGAUCAGCCACACUGGGACUGAGACACGGCCCAGACGCCUACGGAGGCAGCAGUGGGGAAUCUUGCACAAUGGGCGCAAGCCUGAUGCAGCCAUGCCGCGUGUAUGAAGAAGGCCCUAGGGUUGUAAAGUACUUUCGGUAGGGAGGCGGUACCUACAGAAGAAGCACCGGCUAACUCCGUGCCAGCAGCCGCGGUAAUUC
rnacentral:rRNA from 1 species